GAUGAAGAACGCAGCGAAACGCGAUAUGUAAUGUGAAUUGCAGAAUUCAGUGAAUCAUCGAAUCUUUGAACGCACAUGGCGCCUUCCAGUAUCCUGGGAGGCAUGCCUGUCCGAGCGUCGUUUCAACCCUCGAGCCCCCGUGGCCCGGCGUUGGGGAUCUGCCCAGGCAGUCCCCGAAAACCAGUGGCGGACCCGUUACAGGCCCUUCCCUUGCGUAGUAGCAUUCGCCUCGCAUCGGGUGCCGGCGGGCUUCCAGCCUCUAAACCCCCAUCAAGUCCGCCCCGGCGGCACCAAGGUUGACCUCGGAUCAGGUAGGAAUACCCGCUGAACUUAAGCAUAUCAAUAAGCGGAGGA
rnacentral:misc_RNA from 1 species